rnacentral:rRNA from 1 species
UAGGGAAUCUUCGGCAAUGGACGGAAGUCUGACCGAGCAACGCCGCGUGAGUGAAGAAGGUUUUCGGAUCGUAAAGCUCUGCUGUAAGAGAAGAACGAGUGUGAGAGUGGAAAGUUCACACUGUGACGGUAUCUUACCAGAAAGGGACGGCUAACUACGUGCCAGCAGCCGCGGUAAUACGUGGGUCCCGAGCGUUGUCCGGAUUUAUUGGGCGUAAAGCGAGCGCAGGCGGUUAGAUAAGUCUGAAGUUAAAGGCUGUGGCUUAACCAUAGUACGCUUUGGAAACUGUUUAACUUGAGUGCAAGAGGGGAGAGUGGAAUUCCAUGUGUAGCGGUGAAAUGCGUAGAUUAGGAGGAACACCAGUGGCGAAGGCGGCUUUUUGGCCUGUAACUGACACUGAGGCGCGAAAGCGUGGGGAGCAAACAGGAUUAGAUACCCUGGUAGUCCACGCCGUAAACGAUGAGUGCUAAGUGUUGGUCUCAUAAGAGAUCAGUGCUGCAGCUAACGCAUUAAGCACUCCGCCUGGGGAGUACGACCGCAAGGUUG